rnacentral:rRNA from 1 species
ACUACGGGUGGCAGCAGUGGGGGAUAUUGCACAAUGGGGGGAACCCUGAUGCAGCGACGCCGCGUGGGUGAAGAAGCGCCUCGGCGCGUAAAGCCCUGUCGGCAGGGAAGAAAAUGACGGUACCUGAAGAAGAAGCCCCGGCUAACUACGUGCCAGCAGCCGCGGUAAUACGUAGGGGGCAAGCGUUAUCCGGAUUUACUGGGUGUAAAGGGGGCGCAGACGGCGAUGCAAGCCAGGAGUGAAAGCCCGGGGCCCAACCCCGGGACUGCUCUUGGAACUGCGUGGCUGGAGUGCAGGAGGGGCAGGCGGAAUUCCUGGUGUAGCGGUGAAAUGCGUAGAUAUCAGGAGGAACACCGGUGGCGAAGGCGGCCUGCUGGACUGCAACUGACGUUGAGGCCCGAAAGCGUGGGGAUCAAACAGGAUUAGAUACCCUAGUAGUC